GUCAGGAUGGCCGAGCGGUUUAAGGCGCUGCAAUCAGGUCGUUGUACCAUUGCGUGGGCGUGAAUUUGAAUCCCACUUCUGACA